CUGGGAUUACAGGAGUGAGCCACUGCGCCUGGCCAAUUUUUGUGUUUUGUUUUUUGUUUUUUGGUUUUUUUUUUUUUUGCAGGGAAACGGUUUUGUUAUGUUGCCUAGGCUGGUCUCGAACUCAAGUGAUCUGCCCGCCUUUGCCUCCCAAAGUGCUGGGAUCCCAGGUGUGAGCUGCUACGUCCAGCCUCUUGCCCAAUAAUUUCAGUGAAAGUCCUGGGCUCAAGUCUCACUUGACCACUUAGAUCAUUUAUGAACCAAUCAGUUUGCCAAGCUGGGAAUCAAUGUUCAUCCUUGAAGUCAGAGUGCACAGUCAGCACCCUAAAAACCACGAGCUGAAAGUGGGUGUGGUAGUUAGCCAAAGGAAAAUUAGGGAGAUUUUACACAAAGAAGGGAAAUAAAUGUGUGAAUACAAAAAUCUAUGGAUGCCCACAACAUGUGGCCUGGUACACAUGUAAGUACUCAAUCUAUGUUAGCUAUUAAAGGGAGCACCUGACCAGAGGGCAAGGAAUAUUUGGGGAUCACUGAAGCUUCAGAAUCACACUUUUCAGCUGAUGGUUCUGUACCUCGGCAGGACAUCAGAAGUUCUUGCAGAGCUUCUAAACUCUCCCAUCUGUGGCCCACGUUCAGUUCUGAUUCAGUUGAUCUGGGGUGAGGUCUGCACAGCACUGGGUGUUAAAUCCACCCAAGAGAAUUUAAUGAACUGCCAGGGCUAAAAACGACUGCUCUAAGCUAAUGCAUUUGCUUGGCUGGUGCCCACAGACCUCUUAGCCAUAGCACCAAAUCCUGUAAGACCCAAGGAAUUAUUAGGAAGUACUAAUUAUAUGUGAAGUCUUAAUGCAGAAUUUGAAAAUCUCCCGAAAUUAUUUCUUCCAAUGUCCUCAAUGCUAAAACGGGACUUUGGUGAUAGCUUUUUUUUUUUUUUUUUAAUGAGACCGAGUCUCGCUCUGUUGCCUGGUCUGGAGUGCAGUGGCCCGAUCUCGGCUCACUGCAACCUCCACCUCCCAGGUUCAAGCUAUUCUCCAGCCUCAGCUUCCCGAAUAGCUGGGAUUACAGGCGUGCACCACCGCAUCUGGCAAUUUUGUAUUUUUAGUAGAGACAGGGUUUCACCAUAUUGGCCAGGCUGAUCUCAAACUCCUGACCUCAGGUGAUCCGCCCACUUCGGCCUCCCAAAGUGCUGGGAUUACAGGCGUGAGCCACCGUGCCCGGCCAGUGAUAGCUUUAAAAAUGCAACAUAGAACUGAGCUGUGUGUGUGUGUGUGUGUGUGUGUGUGUGUGUGUGUGUUGUAACAUGUGCGUGUGUGCUUGUGUGCGUGCCUACAUGUGCUUUGCAUUGGUGGUUAAUUUAGCAACACAGAUGACUCAAGAACUUAACUAAUGUUGAGUCAUGGCAUCUUGUGUUUUCAACUUUCUUCCUCCCCUCCCCCACCUUGUCUCAUCCACAAACAUUGGAUUCAACGUUGGAGGUAUUUAAUGCCACCAGUGACGAACAGAUAGACACCACCUGCCUCCAGAUGUGAUAUCCUGAGGAGGAUACAACAUCCUCUUUGCCCCACAGUCCAGCAAAGAAUGCAUAGCCUACACCGAAUCAAGACACAUCAGACAAACAGAAAAUGGAGAACAUUCUAUCAAACAGGAGGAAGCUGUAUUCUUUGAAAAUGCUAAUAUCAUAACAGACAAAAAAAGCUGUGAGAAUGUUCCAGUUAACAGGACUGCAUAAACAAUCAUGCAGAUGGAUAUUAAGAUAUCAGUAGAUAAAUAAAGGCAAUAUAGGGCCGUUCAACAGCCGAAAUGUGAAGUACAUCUAUCCCUGAGCAUCUUCAUAAAUUCUCCCAGAUUAGGGGGCUCUCAGGAAGUUGCCAGAUGGCACAGCCACACCCCCAGUGGUUUCUCAGGACUCUAGAAAUUUCUGAAAUACAGGCCAAGCACUCACUCUUGCCAGUAAGUUACAUCGAAGCAGCUAUAUGGUAGAAUUGAUUAUGUAACACAAAACCCAUGGUAUCCAUUGCUCCUUAGAGUAGAAUUUAAAUCUUUACCUGGGCUCACAAGGUCCUGCCUCAAGUCCAGUCUCAGUUCAUCCUUUGGACUUCUUCUGGAAGAUUCCUCCGUAUCAGCCUGCCUUCUGGUCUUGACAUUUCCCUUUCUUACCUCGGGGCUUGUGCACCUGCCGUUGCCUCUCCUGGAAAGCUCUUCCCCAGGGCUUCACGUAACUGCCUUUGAAUCAUGAAAAUGGUAGUCUUUUCAACAAGUGACACUUGAACAAUUGGAUAUCGGCAGGAACGAUCUGCGUAGGGUGAUUUUUCACACCACUGUAUCCCUAGUACCUAGACCGUCCACAUGGAACAGAUGUGAUCACCAAGUUUUAGAAGAAACUUGCAAGCCCAUCGUCCAACACUUAACAUCUUUAUAGAUGGGGAAAUCCAAAGACGACAACUCAGCCCUGUCCCUCGUUGCAUGGUGUUUGGUGGAUGACUUGGCAUGAAGCAUCAUAUCUACAAGAAAAACAAGUCAAAGGCUGAUGCCUCUGAUGGGGAAAUCACCACUCUCUCAGUGGGCAGCCACAGGAAAUGGGUACCUGUCUAUACUGGGGCCACAGGAUUAUGGGGCAAUAUCCCACAUGCCAGAGCAUAACAUAGAGGCUCAUUAAGGACAGAUAUUUGGGAGUGUAUAUUUAUCAAAAAUUCAGAUGGGUGAAUGGCCAUCACAAAUGGGAGAGAGAACUGUUAGCCAACGGGUGACUCAGGGGCUGAGUGUGCACCCCUGUUAUGAAAACUGAUUGUUAAAAAAAAAAAAAAAGUUGUUUGCACUCAUCACAGAUAUCAACAUUUGAAGGCACUGGCUGAUUCCAACUUAUGGCAUAAAUGACUAUUCAAUCGCAAUUGGAAUAGCUUAGACAAAUUAUCUGUGAUUAAAGCAGGCCAAUUUCUCAAAAUAAAAGUCCAACCUGGAGCACAAAUGAGCCUAAGCGCUUGGUCCUUGGAAUAGUGACUUUUCUCUCUUGCAAAGCUUGGUCUCUAACCAAAUAAGUAUUUACCUAUACAUUUAGAGUUCAGAUCAAUAGGAGGAAGAUGAAAUAGCCAAGACUGCUUUUGUUGCACAUGACAAUGACAUAACUCAUCUUGUUUAAGAAUGAAAGGAGGCCGGGUGCGGUGGCUCACGCCUGCAAUCUAAACACUUUGGGAGGCUGAGGCAGGCGGAUCAUGAGGUCAGGAGAUCGAGACCUUCCUGGCUAACAUGGUGAAACCCCAUCUCUACUAAAAAUACAAAAAAUUAGCCCGGCGAGGUGGCAGACGCCUGUAGUCCCAGCUACUCGGGAGGCUGAGGCAGGAGAAUGGCGUGAACCUGAGAGGCGGAGCUUGCAGUGAGCCGAGAUCAUGCCACUGCACUCCAGCCUGGGCAACAGAGCGAGACUCCAACUCAAAAAAAAAAAAAAAAGAAUGAAAGGGAACUUAGCACUUGUAACUGAAGCAUCCAAGUUUACUGCUGACUUCAGGCAUGCUGGAUCCAGGCGGCGAGAAGCGUUAUCAAGAAUGUGUCAUUCUCUAUUUCUUGGCUCUGCUUUCCUCUAUAUUGCCAUUACUUUCAAGUAGGCUGUCUCCAUGUGAAUGGCAAAGCAAUCAUCUGUAGCUUCAGGCCUAGAUGGUCCCCACAACUGGUGGCUCCAAAAGAAACCAAAAGAAACACACACACACACACACACACACACAUACACACACACACACACACACACACACACACCCCUUUUUCCCAAUAGCUCUCACGAAAGUCCCAGGCAAGAAUCUCUCUGGCUAUACUUGGAACACAUACCCAACCCAGAACCCAUUCUCCUUGUUGGCCAUUUUGUGCAUAUCCAGGUGAUCACCAUGACCAGCCAUGCUGCCAUAAGGAUUCUUUUCAAGUCUCUUUAGGCAUCCACAUAAGGGGUACUGUGGAGUAUAGAGAUGACUAUUUCUUUGAAUACUGUGAUAGAUGCAAUAGUAGACUUGCAUUCAAGGUACCAUAGUACAGUAUAAGAAAAAAUAUAUAUGCCUUUGUAAACUGUGCUUACUCGCUCAGGAGCAGGGGGACGCCCCCUUCUUAAGGGAAGAGCCGGCAUCACACGCCCUCCCAGCUCAAGCUUCCCCUGCGACCUGCACGUGUGUGAAUUGGCAGGCCCCACUAAUAUUGGUAUUUCCCUCUCAUUCCUACUAUUACCCCUGCCAAGCUUGGGAUGGCAGAGUUGGAGUCAUAUCCAUUCUAGGAGCCUAAAGAUGUGACUCCUCUGCAUUGAUGAGAGACACGGAAGAGGGAAAAGCAAGGAAAGACUUUAGUGAGCUCUGAAGUCCCACCUGCCACUCCACUAAAUGCCAGAAUCAUCUGGCCUCACUUAGUGGGUGGAGCAAAUUCCUGCCCCCCAGGGCCUCCCUCCUGAACCUGCAAGGUUGGUGGGAGAGGGAGACCCUCCCCAAAAGAGGAAGCCUGUUGUGUUGAGAGUGAUUUCAGAGACCUCAGCCAGGAAAGGUAAAUCAAAAUAACCCUUACACUCCGCCUCCUUCUUCCUUUAGAGGGGAAUGUUUCCUGGCACGGGUGCUGCAGCUUAAUAAAUUGCAUGCAGUAGAUUUCAGGCCUUGAGAAAAUCUUAACACUAGCUAAUAUGACCAGCACUAACAAAAUUUCUUGGAGCUUAUAAUAACAAAAAAAGCUCAUUGACGGAUUCCCACUUUUAUUCCUGCCCCCCUUUUCCACUUAGCCUUAAAUUUUUUUUAAUAAGAAAUUUUUAUUAACAAAAACAACAACAAAAAAAAAACAGAGUGAAGCACUUCACAAGAUCUUGCCCAGUUUAUUUUUUUAAUCUGUAAUAAUGAGCAUAACAGUUCAGCAAUGGAAUACUCACUCCAACAAAAUCUCCAGAUCUUUACAUCCUGAGUCUGCGAGGGCUGGACACAUGCCCUUGCUAAUUAUCAACCUUCUGAAACAGCUCAAGACAUGGGAUUAAAAACUGCUGUGGAAUUUGAACUCACGGACAUUCAUCUGAGUCAGCUACUCUGAACUCGCAUCUACUAUAAGGACCUGAGCAUUUCCUUCUCCCGUUUCCUCAGGACCUGCUCGGGGGUGUUCAGGGGAAGGUUGUCACAAACAUACUUGCAAUAAAAAUAAUCAAACAAAUGGAGAGCAUGUCUAUUUCCGGAAUUAGAUUCUUUUGAUAGUGAAG
rnacentral:lncRNA from 1 species